ACGGGUGAGUAACGCGUAGGUAACCUGCCUGGUAGCGGGGGAUAACUAUUAUAAACGAUAGCUAAUACCGCAUAAAAGUAGAUGUUGCAUGACAUUUGCUUAAAAGGUGCAAUUGCUUCACUACCAUAUGGACCUGCUUUGUAUUAGCUAGUUGGUGGGGUAACGGCUCACCCAGGCGACGAUACAUAGCCGACCUGAGAGGGUGAUCGGCCCCACUGGGACUGAAACGCGGCCCAGACUCCUACCGGAGGCAACAGUAGGGAAUCUUCUCCUAUGGACGGAAGUCUGACCGAACAACGCCGCGUGAGUGAAGAAGGUUUUCAGAUCGUAAAGCUCUGUUGUAAUAGAAGAACGAAUGGGAUAGUGGAAAGUUCACACUGUGACAGAAUCUUACCAAAAAGGGACGGCUAACUACCUGCCAGCAGCCGCGGUAAUACGUACGUCCCGAGCGUUGUCCGGAUUUAUUGGGCGUAAAGCGAGCGCACGCGGUUAGAUAAAUCUGAAUUUAAAGGCUGUGGCUUAACCAUACUACGCUUUGGAAACUGUUUAACUUGACUGCAAGAGGGGAGAGUGGAAUUCCAUGUGUAGCGGUGAAAUGCGUAGAUAUAUGGAGGAGCACCGGUGGCGAAAGCGGCUCUCUGGCUUGUAACUGACGCUGAGGCUCGAAAGCGUGGCGAGCAGACAGGAUUAGAUACCCUGCUAUUCCACGCCGUAAAC
rnacentral:rRNA from 1 species